AGAGAGUUAGUUUAUACUAAAACUUAGAGUUGUCGACCCUAAGAAGCUAGGAUUAGCACUUUCUU
rnacentral:tRNA from 1 species